GAUGAAGAACGUAGCGAAAUGCGAUAAGUAAUGUGAAUUGCAGAAUUCAGUGAAUCAUCGAAUCUUUGAACGCACCUUGCGCCCUUUGGCCAUUCCGAAGGGCAUGCCUGUUUGAGUAUCAUGAACACCUCAACUCUUCAUGGUUUUCCGUGAUGAGCUUGGACUUUGGGGGUCUUGCUGGCCUAUGGUCAGCUCCUCUAAAAUAAAUCAGCUUGCCAGUGUUUGGUGGGUAUCACAGGUGUGAUAACUAUCUACGCUUGUGGUUUUCCACCAGGUAACCUUCAGCAAUGGAGGUUCGCUGGAGCUCACAGAUGUGUCUCUCCUCAGUGAGGACAGCUCUUUGAAUGUUUGAUCUCAAAUCAGGUAGGACUACCCGCUGAACUUAAGCAUAUCAAUAAGCGGAGGA
rnacentral:misc_RNA from 1 species